GUGGCUAUAGCUCAGUUUGGUUAGAGCGCCAGGUUGUGGCCCUGGAGGCCGAGGGUUCAAGUCCCUCUAGCCACCCCA
rnacentral:tRNA from 1 species